rnacentral:rRNA from 1 species
UAGGCGGUUGGUCGCNUCUGCUGUGAAAGGCCGGGGCUUAACUCCGGUUUUGCAGUGGGUGCGGGCUAACUAGAGUGCAGUAGGGGAGACUGGAAUUCCUGGUGUAGCGGUGGAANGCACAGAUAUCAGGAGGAACACCGAUGGCGAAGGCAGGUCUCUGGGCUGUAACUGACGCUGAGAAGCGAAAGCAUGGGAGCGAACAGGAUUAGAUACCCUGGUAGUCCAUGCCGUAAACGUUGGGCACUAGGUGUGGGGGACAUUCCACGUUUUCCGCGCCGUAGCUAACGCAUUAAGUGCCCCGCCUGGGGAGUACGGCCGCAAGGCUAAAACUCAAAGGAAUUGACGGGGGCCCGCACAAGCGGCGGAGCAUGCGGAUUAAUUCGAUGCAACGCGAAGAACCUUACCAAGGCUUGACAUGCAUUAGAUCGCGUCAGAGAUGGCGUUUCCCUUCGGGGCUGGUGUACAGGUGGUGCACGGUUGUCGUCAGCUCGUGUCGUGAGAUGUUGGGUUAAGUCCCGCAACGAGCGCAACCCUCGUUCUAUGUUGCCAGCGGUUCGGCCGGGGACUCAUAGGAGACUGCCGGGGUCAACUCGGAGGAAGGUGGGGAUGACGUCAAAUCAUCAUGCCCCUUAUGUCUUGGGCUUCACGCAUGCUACAAUGGCCGGUACAGAGGGUUGCGAUACUGUGAGGUGGAGCUAAUCCCUUAAAGCCGGUCUCAGUUCGGAUUGGGGUCUGCAACUCGACCCCAUGAAGUCGGAGUCGCUAGUAAUCGCAGAUCAGCAACGCUGCGGUGAAUACGUUCCCGGGCCUUGUACACACCGCCGUCAAGUCACGAAAGUUGGUAACACCCGAAGCCGGUGGCCUAACCCUUGUGGGGGGAG